UCUAAAAUCUUUCAACCCCGAGGUUCAAAUCCUCUUCUUAGCU
rnacentral:tRNA from 2 species